rnacentral:rRNA from 1 species
GACUCUCGACAACGGAUAUCUCGGCUCUCGCAUCGAUGAAGAACGUAGUGAAAUGCGAUACUUGGUGUGAAUUGCAGAAUCCCGUGAACCAUCGAGUCUUUGAACGCAAGUUGCGCCCGAAGCCUUCUGGCCGAGGGCACGUCUGCCUGGGCGUCU